GAUGAACGCUGGCGGCGUGCUUAACACAUGCAAGUCGAGCGAAGCGAUUUUAAGGAAGUUUUCGGAUGGAAUUAAAAUUGACUUAGCGGCGGACGGGUGAGUAACGCGUGGGUAACCUGCCUCAUACAGGGGGAUAACAGUUAGAAAUGACUGCUAAUACCGCAUAAGCGCACAGUGCUGCAUAGCACAGUGUGAAAAACUCCGGUGGUAUGAGAUGGACCCGCGUCUGAUUAGGUAGUUGGUGAGGUAAUGGCUCACCAAGCCGACGAUCAGUAGCCGACCUGAGAGGGUGACCGGCCACAUUGGGACUGAGACACGGCCCAAACUCCUACGGGAGGCAGCAGUGGGGAAUAUUGGACAAUGGGGGAAACCCUGAUCCAGCGACGCCGCGUGAGUGAAGAAGUGUUUCGGCAUGUAAAGCUCUAUCAGCAGGGAAGAAAAUGACGGUACCUGACUAAGAAGUCCCGGCUAACUACGUGCCAGCAGCCGCAGUAA
rnacentral:rRNA from 1 species